GUAGUCUGCAACUCGACUACAUGAAGCUGGAAUCGCUAGUAAUCGCGGAUCAGAAUGCCGCGGUGAAUACGUUCCCGGGUCUUGUACACACCGCCCGUCACACCAUGGGAGUCGGGAAUGCCCGAAGCCAGUGACCCAAGCGAAAGCAGGGAGCUGUCGAAGGCAGGCCGGAGUAACUGGGGUGAAGUCGUAACAAGGUAGC
rnacentral:rRNA from 1 species